GUCUUUGGCCAUACUGCCCUGAACGCACCCAAUCUUGUCUGAUCUCAGAAACUAAGGAGGGUUGAGCCUGGUUAGUGCUUGGAUGGGAGAAAUAUCAUAUGAUCCAAUAAUU
ensembl:rRNA 5S_rRNA 5S ribosomal RNA